rnacentral:rRNA from 1 species
GACGAACGCUGGCGGCGUGCUUAACACAUGCAAGUCGAGCGGUAAGGCCCUUUCGGGGGUACACGAGCGGCGAACGGGUGAGUAACACGUGGGUGACCUGCCCUCCACUCUGGGAUAAGCCCGGGAAACUGGGUCUAAUACCGGAUAGGACCAUUGGAUGCAUGUCUGGUGGUGGAAAGUUUUUUCGGUGGGGGAUGGGCCCGCGGCCUAUCAGCUUGUUGGUGGGGUGAUGGCCUACCAAGGCGGUGACGGGUAGCCGGCCUGAGAGGGCGACCGGCCACACUGGGACUGAGACACGGCCCAGACUCCUACGGGAGGCAGCAGUGGGGAAUAUUGCGCAAUGGGCGGAAGCCUGACGCAGCGACGCCGCGUGGGGGAUGACGGCCUUCGGGUUGUAAACCUCUUUCGCCAGGGACGAAGCUAACGUGACGGUACCUGGAGAAGGAGCACCGGCCAACUACGUGCCAGCCGCCGCAGUAA